CACCUGGCUAAUACUGCCUUUGCUCUGCCCGAUCCCGUCAGAUCUCGGAAGCUAAGCAGGGAAGGACCUGGUUGGUACUUGGAUGGGAGACCGUUUGGGAACACCAGGAAGUCUGGGUGA
rnacentral:rRNA from 1 species